rnacentral:lncRNA from 1 species
CUGCUGGGGCUGCAAUCUGCCAGUGUGAACCCUGGUGGCUCUGCAGGCAGCAGGGUGAGGAGAGUGACCCUCAUAUGAAGCCACGACCCCAAUGCAAGAGGCUAUCCUGAAUCUGGGAGUCACGGUUGUUCAGAAUCAGUCCCUGAGAUGUGGCACCGUGGCGUUUGACAUUAUCACCACCAUCGAUGUCAUUCUAUGGCCCACGCUCCCACCGGUGAGUGCAUGUAGUCAUCUGGGCACCUACCGUGUGCUCCUUGGAUCCCAGGAUGAGCAGUGAAGAAAGGAUGGCGGGGGAUGAAAGAGAUCCCCUCCCACCCUCAUCCCACUCUCAAGGCUCUAGCUGGAAGGCAGAGGCAACACUGCAGAUGAAGUUCUGAAAGUGAGAUGGUGGGCAGGUAAAGGAGCUGCCAGCCCCAUGGUGCCAUGGCUGUGGGGUUUUAAGCAGGUGAGGUACACAGAUGGUGACACAGGGAGGGGGUGUGCUGAGCACAGUGGCAGGGUACAGUCAAGUCCAGUCUUGGGGUGGGAUACAGACCAGGUGAGCUGGGCUGAAAGGAUCCAAAUGUGAGUGGGAAGUGAUGGGAAGUGAGGUGGAGCGUCCAGUGAGAUUUGGUUGCUGGGACAAUAAACAGAGAGCCAUGAUGGGUUUUUUCAAAUAAGAAAAUGCCAUGUCCAAUGCUGGAUUUCAGAAAGAGGCUUAGGGAAGAUACCAAUAGGAUUACUUUGGGGAGGAAAGACUUGGAAUCCAAAGGCUGGGGCCCCUUGUGGUUAUCCCAGCUUGUUCUACAAAAGCCGACACGAGAGGGGUGACUCGGAGAAGGGAGGGAAAGGAUCAAAUGGAAAAUUGCUGUGGAGUCAUUGUCAGGACUUAGUAUUCUAGUGAAUGGGGGAGUUAAAACCAAUGUCCACCUUCCUUCUACUUGAGCCAUGUGGAAUAUGAUAAAGAUAAAUAAGGAAGGGAACUAAUAGGCAUCUGCUGUGACCUAGACUUUGGAUUUGGUUAUUUCAUUCAAUUCUCAGUCUCCCCUGAGGACAGGGUAUUAGCAUCAGCAUCUUAUAGAUGAGGAAAUUGAGGCUUUGUAAUUUACCCAAGAUCAUAUCCAGAGCUAGGGAGAUUGUAAAACACAGAAGAAAACCACUGACAUUCAUUGUAAAUGCAUAAUACAUCCCAGGCACUUAACUGUAUAUUCUUUCAUUUCACUUCAAAACAUAGAAGAGAUUAUUUUUAUGAUCUCCAUUUUAUAAAUGUGGAAAGCAUAGUCCAGAAAAGUGAAGGUCACCAGCCCCAGGUCACAAAGCAAAGACACAGUGGAAAUGGAAUUUGAACCCAGGGCAUCUGGGUCCACACUCUACCACUACACUAGCCUGAUAGUGACAAAUUUGCAACAUAAUCUGUCUAGUUCCAAAAAUGUGUUUGCAUUGUACAGCAACUCAAGCAGUAUUAGCUGCUCCAUGGCAUGAUAAUGUCCCCACUGGGUGUUCCCUGCACUCUGUACCCCUCAUGCCCUAACAGCAUCAGAACAGGAGGAAGGGGGCAUUUGCUCUCUCUCCCUCUCUCCUCCUACCCAUUUUCCCCACUCCCUUUCUUUUCUUUUCUUUUUUUUUUUUUUUUGCUGCUGGGCCUGCUAUCUGCCAUUAUGACCCCUGGUGGCUCUGCAGGCAGCGGGGACAACCCUCUCCCAGGCUUCAUACUAGUAGAGAUGAUCUGUUGCUUAGUACUUACGACUGAGACUUACACCCAGUGCUGUAACUGCUGUGGAUGGUGGAAUCUAGACAGCCCUGGGCAAACCCAGCCCUUGCAGUAGGAGAGCGGCCCCUUGUUCCACAUCCUGUUUUAUUGGGAGCAGACUUCAGUCGGCAGCAUGCCAGAAAGCCCUGAUAUCCCAUUUAACCCCAUGGACAGUCUCUGCGCUCCUGAAGGCCAGCAGGUGCAAUCCACCUGUUUAUCUCCUGGACCCGCAGGCUUUGAGUCACCUGCUUCAUGUUCUCCCUGCAAACUGCGAGACCUCUGUGCCCUGCAGUAGACUCGGCGUGUUCAGGGCAGGUAGCAGGAGCUGUUGCAUGGUGCCCCGGGGAGCUGGGAAAAUUCAUGGUCACUCAAAACAGCAAUAGAUCCCAGCAACAGUCUAGGCCUGGCUCCCUCACUAGUUAACUGUGUGACCUUGGGCGAGUGACCAAACUUCAGUCUCCCCAUCUGUAGGUUGGGCAUAACAGGACCUGACUGCUAGAGUUGUGAGAGGUGAAAAUGAGUUGAUUCAACUAAAAGCCAGGAGCACACAGCCUGGCCUGAAUUAAUUGUGAUGACUGUUUGUACUUAUUAACCCCUGUCUGUGGGGCUCUCCGAUGGCUAACUGCAAAGCUCCUGCCUGCCAACUGCUGCUCUGAGCUGGGGGCAUUAGGGAUGUCUGGGCAAAGGGUUGCACUGAAGAAGGAGCAAACCUCAAAGCAAGAAGAGCCACAGGCAGGCAGCUGUACUAUAACUGCCAAGUGCAACUCACCUCUUUCUUGUCCUUUCCUGGUUCAAAGCACCCACCGAGUCAGCCAGAAACCUCUGAUUCCACCACGUUCUCCAAAAAGUGCACCAGGAAGGCAGGAGGCCGUGCUGGAAAAGGCGGCCACACGUUACAGGAGAAGACCAGGGUGGAGAGGGAAAAAUACCUCAAAUGCCCUCCCUUCUCCCUCGGUCAUUUCUUCCUUUCCAGUGAGCAGGUCACAAGGGCAGGCGCAGGAGAUGUGAUUGAGCUGUGCUGGGAAAUGCCUCGGCCCCACCCCACUCCUACUACCCCCUGUGAGGAGGAGGCACAGGCGGGCACUGCCCUCGGAACACUAAAGCUUUGUUUCCUGGAGGUUCUGAAAUCAGCCUCCUCACGUACCUCACCCAACACCAAACGUUCUGUCUCCACUUCCUCCUCCACCAAGGACUUUGGGGGGCUUGAAGGAGAAUGAGGGAGAGCGGCAGAAAGGAUGGCUAGCUAGUAAAGCCCCACAUGCCUGCUCAGGCCUGUUCAAGCCCAGUGAGGUAUAUGUGGGUUCAGAACUGAUUACACUUCCCCAUCUUACAGAU